UACGUAGGCAGCGAGCGUUGUUCGGAGUUACUGGGCGUAAAGGGUGUGUAGGCGGUUGUUUAAGUUUGGUGUGAAAUCUCCCGGCUCAACUGGGAGGGUGCGCCGAAUACUGAAUGACUAGAGUGCGGGAGAGGAGAGUGGAAUUCCUGGUGUAGCGGUGAAAUGCGUAGAUAUCAGGAGGAACACCGAUGGCGAAGGCAGCUCACUGGGACGGUACUGACGCUGAGACGCGAAAGCGUGGGGAGCAAACAGG
rnacentral:rRNA from 1 species